rnacentral:rRNA from 1 species
UACUAGCGGUCCAAGUCGCAACCACAUUUAUUGGGUCUAAAACAUCCGUAGCUUGCUUGAUAAGUUUCUUGUGAAAUUCUAUGUCUCAAACAUAGAGCGUGCAAGAAAUACUAUCUAGCUAGAGAUCGGGAGACGUAAGGAGUACGUUUAAAGUAGUAGUAAAAUGCUUUAAUCUUAAGCGGACUAACAAUAGCGAAGGCACCUUACGAGAACGGUUCUGACAGUCAGGGAUGAAGGCUAGGGGCGCAAAACGGAUUAGAUACCCGUGUAGUCCUAGCAGUAAACACUGCACACUAAACAUUAGUGUCUCCUCGAGAGACAUUAGUGCUGAAGGGAAGCCGGAGAGUGUGCUACCUGGGAAGUAUAGUCGCAAGGCUGAAACUUAAAGGAAUUGGCGGGGAGACACUACAACGGGUGACGCGUGCGGUUCAAUUAGAUUAUACACCGUGAACCUUACCAGGAGCGACAGCAGAAUGAAGGUCAGUCUGAAGGGCUUACCUGACACGCUGAGAGGAGUUGCAUGGCCGACGUCAGCCUGUGUCGUGAGAUGACCUGUUAAAUCAGGUAACAGGCAAAACCCACAUGUAUAUUUGCCAAGUGCACCAUAUACAGAUUGCCUUGGAAACGAGGAUGAGAGUGUGGUCUACGUUAGGUGAGUACAGCCCGAAUCCCCUGGGCUACAGGCGCGCGUCAAUGGUGGAUACAACGAGUUGCGACUCUGAAAAGAGGAGCCAAUCUCUAAAAUCCAUCUCAGUCCAGAUUGAGGUUUGUAACUCAGCCUCAUGACGAUGGAAUCCGUAGUAAUCGUUUAUUAUCAAUGAACGGUGAAUAAGUCACUGUCUCU